rnacentral:lncRNA from 1 species
AUGCGCAGGCGCCGCGGCCGCCGCCACCUCCGCUGUAAAGGCGGAAGAGGCGGGACACCCUUCCGCAGACGGCCGCCGACCGGAAGCGGGAGUCGGCUGGGGACGCCAGAGGGAGGGAGAGAGGAAGGAGGGAGAAAACUGAGGGACAGGGGGAGGGGGAAAGGGAGGAGGAUGGAAGGGGGAGGGAAGAGGCGGACGCACCCUGAUCAUCUCCCCUGUGACGACAGAGUGAGGGCCUCAGCCCCUCCCCCGCGCAGAGCGUGGAGCUGCGUUGCGCCUGCGCGUCCCUGGGAGCGUAGAGGUUUCGACGCCUACGCGAUAGGUGUGCGUGCUCCAGCCCCGGGAGCUUCGGUUCGCCGUCUCCUGCCUCCUGCUGGGGUCAUCAUGGCGGCGGCGGUGCUGGGCCGCGGGUCCGGCCGCCUGGCCCAAAUCACCCUGGAGCUGCUAGCAGAGAGGUCUUUCUGGGCCUUCGGCGCCAGACAGGUUCCAUUUGGGUUUAAACAGAAGACUUAAUCCCAGGAUGAGCAGAAAAAAGCUCAACAUCCAUCUAAGUGACUCUGAUUGCACCACCAUCCUUACUCUGCAUUGCAAGUACCAAAUUUCAUGAUAAAUUCAAGAGAAAUAAAAACUUCAGAUCCAAAUAUACAUAAAUCACUUGUAAUAUUUUAAAGUCAAGAAGUAAAGUCUUAUCCUCUAGAUUUUUCACUAUUCAUAUAAUUUUCCACAAGUUGAGAAAAAGCUAUUUGCUUCAAAUGCUAAUUUGUGAUAAAUCAGAAGUAUAAAUGUUCGCAAAUAGGGAACUUAACUGUGUGCCAAAAAAGGUAACAAUAGAAAAUAAAACCCUUUUUACUUGAAAAUGUCAUUACAGUUCAAAAACAUUUUCAGAAAACAGAAAACUCAUAGCAACAAUUUUUUAAAUCUUCACACAUACACACUCUAGGUUUCUCAGUCAUUAAUCAAAAGCCCUGAAGGAUAUGUGAUACAUUCACAAUCAUUCAAACUAGGACAAGCCUACUAUAGAAUUUCUUUUACUUAAAAAAAAAAAAAAUCAAGCUAAUUUUCCAUAAAAUAUAGUUAUUUAAUUUAUAAUACCUACUGAAGAUGAUUGCUAAUUCCACAAAGUAUAACUUAAAACCUUCCAAAGUUACAUAAGGGAGGAAAUCCAAUUAAUUUUUCUAUUCCAGAGACUCGGUGUAGACUCGCUUUUUUACGGGUUUAUAACCUGGAUACAAGCUGUCAACUGGAGAAAUAGGCCAACGGUGUUACUUUUGUGGUUUUUAGUUAUCUGUGUGACACUGAGAAGCAUUUUCUUUAAUACCAGUAAAGUUCCAUGAUAUGUGAUUUUUGCAUUCAGAAACUGAUAUGUCAAAUCUUCAUUUAUUUUUGAAGUUAUUUUUUUAAAGACCUUGUUGAAAACAUGUCCACAUUAGCAAAGUCUUUUUAAAAAGCUGUAUUAUUAGGGUUUCAGUAGACUUUAGAUGUACAUUUUCAUAUAAACCUAAAUUCCACAGCAGCUCUGACAUUGAGAUUUGAGUAAUGCAUGUUGUGCUUUUAUCUUUAAAGAAUAUAUUCUGCAACCUACAUGCCAUUAUGAAAAUCUAUCCAAAUCCUAUCAAGAAGAAACAUCAUUUCUUAUGGGAUUUCUCUUACCAUUUUUUUUAAAGAUGCAGAUAUUACCUUGGGUCAGUUUUUAUUUUGGGGGCUUUCAUUUGGGCAGAUUGUGAGAAAUACCUUGUUAUCACAGUCCUUAUAAGUCUCAUAUAUAUAAGCAAAUAAUGCAAACAAAUAUAAUUGAACUAUCAGUUGAUGUAGUCCCAUAUCCUUACUGGUUAAACUUAUAUAUCUUCUUUUAUUAAUUUGUUCCAUAUGAAAUUCAAUUUAUCCAGGGGUUUUGGCACAGAACACUAAAAAGGGCAACUUUUAAAAUUGGCUUUACAUAUUUAAAAUUAAAGUCUUUAAAUCAACGUUAUUUUAUUACUGUUGAACUAUGAUCAGAAUCACAGCAUUGUAUAAGCAAUAAUAAAACCUCCUCUAGAAUCUCCUGCUUCUGUUUUAUUUCUUGAAUUUACCCCAGGAAAUAUGUAGAGUGUUGUACUUUCUUUUCCUUCAGAAAUAAAAGGUUGAUGAAGGAAAAUAGUGAUAGUUUCCUGUUUUGAAUGCACCAGUACCAAUACUUUGAAGAACUGACAGUGUACUCUACAGAUAUAUGUGCCAUAGACUACGAAAAAGGAAACACUUUAGGAAAAAAAUCACAUUACAAAGUGUAUUAUAAAAAUAAAUUACAUAGCAUGUGCCCGUGGACCUGAAAGCUUUGCAGAAAGGAAAUUUAUUUUGACACAAAGAUUGAAUUGCUCUUGCUACCUAUUUUCAUAUUAUCAGCAAUGCCAUUUUCAGCUUUUACAUUAUUAUAUCCUCAAAAAAAAAUCACUGGAAGUAGAAAAUUAUUUCCAGUAGUGAUCAGUAGCAUGGAGGACCUUAGUGAUGAUGGAGGGCUGCAGAAAUACUACUCAUUCAACACGGAUUCAGAGGAAGUACACGCACCCCA